rnacentral:lncRNA from 1 species
CUCAGUAGCACAGUGGGGUGAGGGGAGGCAGGAAGGAACCCUGUGGUCCUCACUGAAGCAAGGGUACUUGCUUAUCUAUAGUAGGGCUAGAUUGUGGAGGAGUUGAGGUACCAAAGUAAAGCAUCUGAUAUUGAUAAAUCUAAGUAUCACUCAUUAAAGAGAGCAGUGAUCCAGUGGAAAUAUUAGUUUAUCAGUUCUCUGUUUAAAAGAAUCUCAAAUUUAGAACUAUCUUCCCUGAGAGUCAUAUUAUACAACUCCUCCUGGAUUCCUGGAUUUUUUAUGCAACCAACAUAACUGUUCCUGUGUCCUGGCUGCUCUCCACGUGCCAUGGACUCUGCUAAGCCUCUGCUAUGCGUUACCUUGUUCAUUCCUCACAAAAUACCCUGAAGAUAGUACCAUGAUUUUUCCCAUUUUAUAGAUGAAGCAUGAAAAAAUAGAGUGAAUUAAAAAAUUAUAGAAGUCUUACCCAUUAAAUAGGUGGGAAGUCUAGGAUUUGUAUCCAAACAGCCUGGUGUCAGAACCCCCAUUCCUAACCAUUCCUCCAAGGUAUAUCUCAAUAGCCCGUAGGAAAUACCUGUCCAUCCUCUGCCUGAGACCACCAAUUGGGGGCACUCACCAUCCUUCCCAAACAGCUCUGCCUACUGUUCUUAGUCUUCCAUGCAGCAUAGGUAACUUAUGUUUAUUGCACUUGAUAUUGGAUCCUUUAUCUUUGAAGAAUGUUCAGGAUAGGUUGAAUAAAGAAGACUGGAAAAAAGAAAUAAUUUAAGAGGCUGUUUCUGUAAUCCAGAAGUGAAUGAGCAGAUCUUGAGAAAAAGAAUUACUGAAAGGCC